UUGAGUCUGAAGGGAUAUCUGAUGCUUGGGCUCCUAUUACUGCAUCUUGUUGGUUGACAGAAUUCAUAUUUAUCUGUCUUGUUGUCUUCCGCAGAAGCUUUGGCUAAUGUACAUGUAUAAGGUAAGAAGAGGACGAGGAUUAUUAAACUCAUCACGAGGGACAUGGAGGGCGAGGGAGAGUGGAGUUUGAGUUAGAGCGGGGUUUUGAGUUAUGCUUUUGGAGUAAUGAGGGAGAGCAGAGUUUGAUUGUCAAUUUGUCAAGGAAAAAGGUAGGAAAAUGGGUUUCUUUUAAUUUCUUCUGUUUUUCUAAGUCAAUGGUAGCCCCAAAGAGACUAGUCAACUUCAAAAUCUGCCAAUAUCAGAUGCAUGGAGGAACAAGAUGAGACUUGCUGUUUGUGAUAUAGAUUUUAGUGAGAGUUGCGAAAGUAAUUUGUCGGUAAAGAAAUGAGAAAAUUAUGUUUUUAAGAUCAGUAAGUAACGUUGUUCUUUAGAAAACGGGUAAUUCCUAGCAGCUAGCAUGAUAUAUCAGUGGGAGACUAAGGGUGUGUUUAGGAUUGAUGGGAACUAUGUGCCUUUAAAUUCACCAUUGUUGUGAGAUGGAAUUAUUAGCUAUUAAGUAAAAGUGGAUGCGUGGUGAUAUUUAGGUGUCUGCCAUAUACUUUGGUAAUUGUACUUUAAAUUAAGUUCAGCAGGAGCAAAGAGUGCAGCAAGCAGCGUUGGAAAAGGUUGAUGAAUGUACAUGAUCACAUGACAAACCUACAUCAUAUUCGGGUCAAUAUGAGCAAUAUUUGAAUAUUCACAUCAAACAAUGAAUCGUACUGAAAAUUUUCAACAUAAUGUUAUAGAAGCUCUGGUAGCACAAGGACAAUUUAUUUCUUUUUUACACAUAUCAUUGCCAAAACUAAGCAUAACUAUCAUUGAAAGAACAUUCCUCAAUCGAUUCAGACACUAACAACUCUGUUGAAGAAUCUGACUCAAUCUCUCUUCCGGAGAUAUGUCGAGAAGAAGAGAAGAAAGGUCUCGGAGGCAUUUGCAAAUCGUCAAUACUCCCUUCUAACAUUUCCAAAACUUUUGUCAUGGAGGGGCGAUCAGCUGCCUUCACCUGAAUACACCAUAAACCAAUCAUACACAGUUUCCUUGCAAUCAUGGACUCAAUUUCAGUCACAUUCCGAAGCUCUAAAUCACCUCCCUUAUUUAAUUGGUCAUAUACCCAAGAUGGGAAAUAUGCUUUGCUUGAACGAGUUGCAUGCAUAUUAGAAUUCCUUCUUCCGCCAGCCAUUUCCAACAACACCAUCCCAAAACCGUAAACAUCUGACUUGCAAGAAACAGUUCCAAAAUUCCUUGAAAUCAGCUCAGGUGCUAUGUAUCCUAUGGUUCCUCUUGUGGCACUGAUGGACACAAAAUCAUUUUCCUUGGGAUGAAACUUUGCAAGGCCGAAAUCUGAGACCUUUGGGAUGAAAUUAUGAUCUAGCAGGAUGUUGUGAGGCUUAAUGUCGAGAUGAAGAAUGCAGACAUCACAUCCGUUGUGUAAAUACUCGAUCCCACGGGCAGUUCCUAAAGCAACUUCAUGGAGUUUCUCCCAACAAAAAGAUUGGCCUCUACUCUCCUUGGGAAAGAUAUGCCUAUCGAGUGAUCCAUUAGGCAUAAACUCGUAGACAAGUGCGCGUUUGGAUCCCUCAGAACAGAACCCCAAUAACUGGACCACAUUAACGUGGUGAAUUCUACCUAUUGUUGAAACUUCGUUGAUGAAUUCCUCCGCACUGAACUUGGAGUUCUCCAGCAUCUUAACAGCAAUCAAGCGACCGGUAUGAAGCGAGAAAGACUAUUGGAGCAAGAAUAAAUCUACCAAUUAUCGGAACAUCAACUAGAAAACUUAUCCCAUUUCCCAUGGAAGGCCAAAAGAUUGCUAGGUAAAUUACUCUGUAAACUGCAAUUGGAGAGAAGGGGGAAAAAUUAAAUAAGCUUUAUACCUAAUCAGAGAGAUGAUUCAGAAAAAAAUUAUACAGUAAAAGAUUAGAGAAUAUAUGAAGCCGUCGCAUUUAUUAACGUCGAAAACACAUGAUCAAAAAGAUAUAUAAGGAUAUGCUUACGCAUAUAACAUGGGUAGCAAAUAAUUUUUGCCACUACUCCUUCAUUGUAUCUGAAGUUGCAAUCUGUUGCAAAAGUGAAAAGAAACAGAAAUUAAGGGUCACAUCGGUAUGCUCUUAGAUAUAGUUCACAAAUUCUUUAUUACGUACAAUAUUGAGAAACAAAAAACAAAUCGCUUGCAUUUGAAGGCAUAAAUAAACAUAAGCAUAGGCUUACACUCAGUAAAUGAGUUGUCCCUGCACUCAUCUAACCGUUUAAGAUCGAACCCUGACUCCAGCGAUUUUCGGAGGUCUUCAUAAGAAGGAUUGUCCACACUCCUAUUAAGUACUACAGGAACCUUUGAAAUAAAGACGCAUGAGUCUGGAAGAUCUGAUAUUCUGGCGUUGGUGACACCAUAUCCAACAUGUCCAACAUAAACAUAGACAUUCGACUGAUUGUUACUCAAACAUGGAACUUUCGUAUACGCCUGAUCAACAAUAUUACUUGAGCAAUUCACGUAAUGGGCGUAUGAUUUAAGAAUGUAACCGUUAAUAUGUCGGAAAAAGUAAGGAUAUGGGGAAAAAGAUUUGUACGGGAGGCCGCAGCUUCCAUUGGCUAGGUUAACAUCAGCAACACUGAUUGUACAUUUAUCAUGGGAAAUUCUCUUUACAUAGUACCUUGCAGAAUUGGACAAUUCUAAGAUGGUUUUGUUGUUCUCGCAAGAAAGUUCUAACUCCGGAUGACCGCAUCCAGCUGGAUCGCCCUUGAGGCGAAAAGGGUAGCUUAUGUUUCUGACAUCUCCACAAGAAGAAGAACACAUUUGUACUCCAAGUUUUCUUGCUUCAAUUUCACUGGUGCUGAAUACAAACAUCAACAGACAAAACAGAAAAGUUGAGAAAAUUGAAGCUUCUUCACUACUCAUUGCUCCUCCAAUUGCAGGAUACAAUUAACGAAUUUGAAUAAACUAAGCAGAACGGUAUAAAAGUGUUCAUUCGCUACGUUUUCUACAGUUUCACUUGCGCGGUGAGAGGCGGGCUUUAAACUUAUUAUAGUUUAGUAUACAACUAUGCGAUUGAAUUACUUAGCACUAAAUAAUUUGUUUUAAAAAUAAUAUUAAUUAUUCAUAAAAUGAAAUCGACACGAUGGAAGAAAAUUUUUAAUUACUGAGUGCUAGGCUUGUAGCAUUACUGCAAUGGGGACAAAUUUAGAUAAACAUGUUCAAUUUCGUUUCUUACUGUAAAUUUUUUAUGCGGAUGCCACGAAGCUUCUGGAGUCUCUUUCCACGAUUUGUUUAAGUGGAAGCUUUCAGAUUCCAAUGGGGAAGUCCAUACGGCAAGGAGAAGUCGCUUAAUUUCCUGGUAAUUGUAAAUGAGUUAGCAUCGGUGGGAAUGGGAUGAUCCAUCCCCAUCCUAGCUUGACCUCAAAUUUCUUGGUAAACGUUCUUCAACAUUAAAAGCGAUGGAACUUAUUGGAAACAGUUUCAAUGCAGUCCAAUUCCAGUUAAUAUCUUUCGCUUUCUUAAUUUCUCACCACCAAACACACUGGCGUACCCCACCUUUUUUUUUUUUUUUUCCUGACAGGAUUUGGAGAAACGCGGCAUUGGAAAUUUGGAGAGGGCCCGACGACCAACACUUUUAAAGCGACCAACAUGCAGAAGAAUGAGGACCUCUCAUGUCAUGUCACAAGUUUCUAAAAAUUAUGGUUGCUGUUGUAAUUAUUGUUAUUAUUAUUAUGAAUAAAGGAAGAUAUGUACAUUUAGAAUUAUGAUUAGGUACCCAGAGUUGAGUAAUAUAAUGCAUGAUAAGUUUUUAUUGGUGGAGUUGUGUUGUAGGCCCCACAACUCCACUAAUUGAAACACGUCAGGUGUGCGUGAUAGGCGUAUACGCCAUACAAUGCAUUAGUAUUUUUAUUAACUUUUUUUUAAAUAACUAAUAUACAGUAUAUUAGUAAAUUCACAUUUUAAAAGAUGUGGAAAUCCACACAUGAUAUAAUAUAUAUAUAUAUAUAUAUAUAUAUAUAUAUAUCUGCCUGAUAUAUAUAUAUAUAUAUAUAUCAAGAAUUUUAAAGUACGGAAAAGUCUGAAAAAAUUUUAAAACCGCACAGUUUUAAAUGUUUAUAGUUUUAAAGAUUUUUCAGACCUUCCCGCACUUUAAAAUCCUGAAUUGGAACAUUUAUGUAUAUAUAUAUGGAUAUGAGUCUAUCCUUGCGCAUUAGUUAUUUUUUGGGCGUUUUAAUGAUUUUGAUUUCAAAUGCCCAAUAUGAGCUGGGCUUCACAUUGAGACCACCAAAAUCCUAAAAGAAGUAUAAACCGUUAGACUGUAAUAAUGGAAACAAGUAAAUAUAUCAAAAAAUGAUAUUGGAAAAUUAAUGGUCGAAUACAUAGUUUGAUCAUAAGAUAUGACAACAAAUAAUAGAUUAUUAGAAUAACAAAAGGAUGUUAUUAAUAAUUUAUUUUUUUUAUCAUAUACGACGUUCAUUAAUCUCAAGUAGAUUAGAGUAGAAAUGAUAUAAUUUAUGACUAAAAUUUAGAUCAAUUUAUAUGUUAUUCAUCACACACAGUAUAUGAAUGAAAAAAGUUAGACCACCGAUGUAAUACUAGUUAGGCGCAAAGGGAACAAAAAAUCAAUGUGUUUUGAUAUUUCCACUUAAGUUACACACAACAAAUUCGAGCUAAGGAUACUUGAAUCUUAUGCUUGGUGCAACAUUUUGGUGUGUCUUUGUAAGCUAAUUUUUCAUGUGAUUUUUAAAACUCUCCAUUUCCGAUUCAAGAUUGGUUCUAUGAGUAGACUUCGUUGCCGUCAAGAGUCAAAAGUGUCACUACGAUAUUUUAUGAAGGCAAAUCACUUCUGCAUAGAUUUCCUCUCCAUCAAAUGUUUUCGUAUUAAUUUUGUGACAUUGUAACCAGUUCUGUUGUGUUUCAUGUGGUAUGUAUCACUGCCAUAAAUUGCUUUAAUGAAAUAAUCACUUAUUUCAAAUGUCGCAGCUGCAUUAGUAUAAUGUAUGUAUUGAUGUAAAAUUUGGUCAUGUUGUAUGCCACUUGUUUUUAAUGUCUGUCAUGUCGAAUUCAAAUCCAUAAAAUAAAUAUUGAUCAAAUGGUUAACUUGGCAGUCGAUAUAGGAAUAGUAGUCUCAUUGAAAAUGUACUAAAAAAACAAUAUAAUAACAUAUCUAUUGCAAAAGGCGAGCAAGAAAAGGAGGGAAAGUAAUGUAGACUGGAUUUAUCUCCAGCCUAAAAGGGGGAAGCACUUCAUAAAUUAAUGCGUUUAAGCCUGCAACCAUUUAUCUGGCAUACAAAGUCAUGCUACUGUAAACAAUUUAUCAAGCACUUUAAUGUCGUGCUGCUAUGGAUAUGCACGCUUCGAUGGCCAUUUCGCAGCUAUUUAUUAUUGUGGAGACAAAAGCGUAUCGAUUGGUGAUUUUUUUUCCUUAUUAAUAUUUGGUGCAUGUUUUGUUCUGAUUGAAGUAGAGGGCCCUAAUUUUCUGAAAUUUUGUUGACAGAAGAUAGAGAGCGCAUAAAUUAAAAUGCCAUUAAGCAAACGCAUUUUAAAUCUUUGUGCUCUCUGUAUUCUGUCAUCAACGUGCAGCUUCAUUUGGCCUUCAAAACUGUAGUGAUCUACUGAUCUUCUUCCAAGUGCUAUUUGUUAAUUUUCAUUUUAUUAUUAUUUUAUUUGUUCAUAUAUACACACACACACACACAGAGAUACACAGACACACACAUACAUACAUAUACAAUUAUACUCCUAAUAUAAUUAUAACUUUAUAAGUUAUGUAUACACAACUAAACCCAGUGUAUAUAUAUCCUCCAUGUAUGCGUAUCUAUAUUGUGAAAUGAGGCAAUUGGCGGCAUUCAAAAUGAAACCCCGCUUGAGGAGUUGAGAGAGAUUCAGAAUGGGGACUGCUCCUGUGAGCUGCUUUAUCACGGACGCUUUGGGCUUUUCAGAGGAGCAGAAUUAAAAGCCCACUAAUGACUUGGGCUAUUCUUGGAGGCAACCGCAGUCCAUAAAGAAGCAUAAAGCCAUGAACUGUUCCGUUGUUUUGUUCAUUUUUUUCCUUCUAGUCUGAUUCACUUCCGAAGUAGCUGUUGAGAAACUUAAAGAUGAAUAUAAUAUCAUGGACUUUAAUUCUUAAAUUUAACAAAUAUGAGAGUACAUUUUAAAAAAAUUGUAAAAACGUUGUAAGAAAGUAAAAUUUUGAAACAAGCAUGUGAUUAAAACAUAAAUGAAUCCCAACUUUAUUUUGGUUUUAAAGGAAAAAAAAAAAGCACCAUCAAAAAUAAAAUAUUCCUAAAUUUUAGUUGAGGGCAUGAUACGAGAACAUAUAUAAAUACAAGAAGAAUGUGAGAGAUAAUAUUAAGAUUUUUAUAUUUUAAAAUAAUAAAUUUCGUUCAUCUCAAUUUUCAAGUACAUAAUAGAAGUACAAUAGUAGGUCCUCAACUAAUAUGACAAAUUGAAAAAAGUCAUCUAUAAUUGUAUUAAUGUUGUGUCAGUCGAACACAUCAAAGAUUUUAAGUGAUUGAUAAAACAACUACAAUAGAAUAAAAACUCAAUAUACUGGUUUUCAAGUGUUCCAAUAACAAGGAGGACUAAAUAAUUUUUCUUAUAAUCGGGGAAAUUUUGAAACAAAUUAACAAUAUAUCUUUUAAAUUGUAAUCUUCUAUUAUCUAGAUCAAUUGAUUGCACCUGUCUCAACAUCAGAAGAGACAAAGGGCAUUGGAGGGAUCUCCAAGCUUUGAAAAUCAGCUUCAAGCAUUUGUAAUACCAUUGGCAUGGAAGGUCUCUCCGUGGGAUUCCAUUGAAUGCACCAAAGUGCCACAAUUGCAAGCUUUCUGGCAAUUCCCUCAUCCCCAUCUUCCUCAAAUUCCAAACAGAGCUCUUGUCCUUGCCUCAUUCUAUUGUAAAUCCACUCCGGAAAAUAUAUUUGGCUCUGAAUUUCAACCGCAGGAUCAUUAUUUUUUCUGCAUCCGACCAUCUCUAACAGCAUCAUUCCGUAACUGUAAACAUCAGACUUGUAAGAGAUCUCACCAAAAUUCCUGGAGAAAAGUUCAGGUGCAAUGUAGCCAGAAGUGCCUCUGGCAGCUGUCAGAGAUACAAUGCUUAUGUCCUUUGAGCACAACUUAGCCAGUCCAAAAUCUGAAAUCUUCGGUUGAAAAUUAUGGUCUAAUAAUAUAUUGUGAGGCUUGAUAUCGAAGUGCAGGAUCCUCUGGUUGCAUCCUUGGUGCAAGUACUCCACUCCACGGGCAACGCCAAAUGCAAUCUUCCUCAGCUUCUCCCAACUCAAUUGACGGUGACUUGAGCUAUUUGUCUUUGAGAAGAUGAAUUUCUCAAGUGAUCCAUUGGGCAUAAACUCGUAAAUAAGAGCGCGACGAUUCCCUUCAGAGCAAAAUCCCAGAAGCCGAACAAUGUGAAAGUGGUGAAUCCUGCCAAUUGUGGCCACUUCAUUGAUGAACUCUUGUCCAUUUCCUUUUAAAUGUUCCAACAUCUUGACAGCAACUGGAAUUCCGUUGAAGAGUUUUCCUCUGAACACACUUCCAUAACCUCCCUGGCCGAGCCUGUGCUUAAAUCUGCUUGUUAUUUUCUUCAGUUCUUUGUAAGUAUAUCUGGUGGGAUUGACGGUCCUGUAGUUUUCGAGGAACUUCUCCACCUUCAGUUGAGUCUCUUUUUCUUUUUCAGAUUCUCUUGAUCUGUAAAUGAGAAAUAUCACUAAUGCAAAGAGGGUGAUGCCUCCAAUGCUUGUGCCUGUGGAUAUUAGACUUAUUGAUAAAGGGCCAGGACCAUCUGUUAUAUAUAACUAAGAAAAGUUAGUUAAAAAAUUAACUCAAACAAUAAAAUGAGAUGCUAAAAGUCUGGACCCGUGCAAGCUUAACUUGGUAGCAUAAAGACUCUAAUAUCAUUUGAUUGGGUUUUAACAAGUCCCUCUCAUGUGACCAUCUCAUAUAUAGGUAUUUUUUCAUAACUUAAACUAUAAUUAGGUAUCUUAUUCAUAUGGGUGGAUAGAUAAUUAAUUUUUCAUUUAACUAAAUAAAGAAAAAAUAAUAAUAAGCAAAAGGAUGAAAUUAUUUGAACUGCAAAGUAAGCACUCUUUUACCUUACACACUUUAAUUUUAAAAUUUUAACUUUUACUUGAGUACACAAUGAAAACACCAAAAUUAUCACAAUUAGAAAUCUCUGUCUUUAUGUUUUUUUUUUUCCCUUUCUGCAUUCACAAAAUGAUUUUUUUCCCCUCAUCUCUUAUUCCAUGUGAAUAUUGAGGGUUACUUGAUUGAACAAAUUUUUUUCUCAAUAAAUUUUCCAUCAUGAACUUAAUCAUAGAGAAAAAGUAUUAGUAUAAUAAUUCUUCUUAAUUUGUGUUCAUUGAGUACGCAAGAAAAUAUAAUAGGUUAAACUUUUAUCAGGCAUUGUGAGUUUAAUCAAUCUCUCACCAUUUACGAAAAUUAAUUGUAAUAUAAAGAUUCAAAGAUUAAAUUGACGAGAUAGAGAAAAUUAGUAUUAUGUAUUUGGUCCUGAGUAGUAUCAAUUUUUCUUCAAACAGUCAAAUCAGCCUGGCUAGCAACAUUUUAUUAACCAAUCUACAACUGGCACGAAUACCAGAAAGCAGCCUUUAAUAGCAAUGAUAUUCGCCAUACAGAUUAGGGGUAGGUAAAAUUAUAUUUGCCGCCAAAAAAAUGAAUCGUUAGUCUUUUUUUUUUUUGGUUAAAAAAAAAUCCAUCGAUUUAUAUGAGAGAAAAUAAAAAGCCAAAAAAACUAGAAAAACGCAAAAGAAAUUACAGGUCAAAGGGAAAAAAAAAAGCCUAACUAAAUCGAACCAAAUUGAUUGGAUUUUCAAUUCAGUUCAAAUUGUUAAUUUUUUGAAAAACUCACCAUCGGAAUUCAACUAAAUCUAACCAAAAGUGAAAUAUAGAUGGCUUCUUUAAUUUUUAACUUCUAGCAAUUGUAAUUACACUUUUACAAUUGAAAAAAUAAUGCAAAGCCUAAUUAUUAUUAUUUUUUCUUUUCAUUUACACUGCUCUGAUAAAUUUUCCGGCAUAUAUAACAAUGAUAAUAAAUUCAACUUAUUAUUUUUAUUGUUAGCUAAAUAGAGACGAUGCUUUCACUUUCAAGCACUGUAGAGAGAGGUGACUGAGAAAAGAUAUGGUUACUUACGUUUUUGGUGUUUAACGGCAACGCAGAUUGUCGAAUUGCUUGUAGUGUUGAACCCACAAUAAUUCCCUGAAUUUUCGCAGUCGUAGCAUCCAUCAAGAGCUUCCCAUGUUAAGACUACUGGAGUUGCCUUCGCCGUCGUAGCAAUAUCCUGAAGAGGUAAUCCGGCGGGAAUCUCAACUGUUCGAGAUUUUCUACAAUAUGGAGGCAUAUCAUCCAUUGAAGAUUCGCUAUCUAUGGUAUAGACAAGAUUGUUUUCAUUGCUAAGACAAUUGAUCGGUCCAAUUAGUUCAAAUACAGACCGUUCUGCAGCAGCCUUCUCAGUGCAGUUAUAUAAAGCGUAACUUUCAGUAAAGAAUUUGGAGUGUGUGAGGUUGAAAGAGAUAAGACUUUGAAACGGGCAUGCAGUCUCAUUCACAUCUGUAAUGUUAAUACUGCUGUCCAGAUAAGAAAUUUCAUGGACAUAAUAAUCACCAGAGGAAGGAAGAUGCCAGAUUGUCUUGUCACUUAAGCAUGACAAUUCAAACCCUUCAAGGCCACAAGAUAUUGGUUGAGUUUUGAGUCUGAAGGGAUAUCUGAUACUUGGGUUCCUAUUACUGCAAUUUGUUGGUUGACAGAAUUCAUAUUUAUCUGUCUUGUUGUCCUCUGCAGAAGCUUUGGCUAAUGUACAUGUGUAAGGUAAGAAGAGGAAGAGGAUUAUUAAACUCAUCACGAGGGACAUGGAGGGAGAGGGAGAGCGGAGUUUGAGUUAGAGCAGAGUUUGAGUUAUGCUUUUGGAGUAAUAAGGGAGAGGAGAGUUUGAUUGUCAAUUUGUCAUGGAAAAAGGUAGGAAAAUGGGUUUCUUUUAAUUUCUUCUGUUCUUUCCUUCUCUCUUUUCUCCUUUUUCUAAGUCAAUGGUAGCCCCAAAGAGACUAGUCAACUUCAGUAUCUGCC
rnacentral:lncRNA from 1 species